AGAUGAAUAAACCUUUGAGAAUUGCUCUUACUAAGGGCAGACUGGAAAAAGAUACUGUUGGUCUUCUGGAG
rnacentral:snoRNA from 1 species